rnacentral:rRNA from 1 species
GUCAUCCUACGGGACGCAGCAGUGGGGGAUAUUGCACAAUGGGGGAAACCCUGAUGCAGCGACGCCGCGUGUAGGAAGACGGUCCUCUGGAUUGUAAACUACUGUCCCCAGGGACGAAGAUGACGGUACCUGGGGAGGAAGCUCCGGCUAACUACGUGCCAGCAGCCGCGGUAAUACGUAGGGAGCGAGCGUUGUCCGGAAUUACUGGGUGUAAAGGGAGCGUAGGCGGGGAUGCAAGUUGGGUGUUAAAUCUACCGGCUCAACUGGUAGUCGCACUCACAACUGCAGCUCUUGAGUGCAGUAGG